rnacentral:rRNA from 1 species
GGGCCCGCACAAGCGGUGGAGCAUGUGGUUUAAUUCGAUGCAACGCGAAGAACCUUACCUGGUCUUGACAUACACAGAAUCUUGUAGAGAUACGAGAGUGCCUUCGGGAAUUGUGAUACAGGUGCUGCAUGGCUGUCGUCAGCUCGUGUCGUGAGAUGUUGGGUUAAGUCCCGCAACGAGCGCAACCCUUGUCCUUAGUUACCAGCGGGUUAAGCCGGGAACUCUAAGGAUACUGCCAGUGACAAACUGGAGGAAGGCGGGGACGACGUCAAGUCAUCAUGGCCCUUACGACCAGGGCUACACACGUGCUACAAUGGUAGGUACAGAGGGUUGCUACACAGCGAUGUGAUGCUAAUCUCAAAAAGCCUAUCGUAGUCCGGAUUGGAGUCUGCAACUCGACUCCAUGAAGUCGGAAUCGCUAGUAAUCG